CCUACGGGUGGCAGCAGUGGGGAAUAUUGGGCAAUGGGCGCAAGCCUGACCCAGCAACGCCGCGUGAAGGAAGAAGGCUUUCGGGUUGUAAACUUCUUUUCUGAGGGACGAAGAAAGUGACGGUACCUCAGGAAUAAGCAACGGCUAACUCCGUGCCAGCAGCCGCGGUAAUACGGGGGGGGCAAGCGUUAUCCGGAUUUAUUGGGUUUAAAGGGCGUGUAGGCGGGAAAGCAAGUCAGAUGUGAAAACUAAGGGCUCAACCCUGAGCCGGCCUUUGAAACUGUUUUUCUUGAGUGCUGGAGAGGCAAUCGGAAUGCCGUGUGUAGCGGUGAAAUGCGUAGAUAUCCGGAAGAACACCAGUGGCGAAGGCAGAUUGCUGGACCGUAACUGACGCUGAUGCGCGAAAGCGUGGGUAGCAAACAGGAUUAGAUACCCCUGUAGUC
rnacentral:rRNA from 1 species